CAGUCGCCGCGGUAAAACGAAGGGGGCUAGCGUUGCUCGGAAUGACUGGGCGUAAAGGGCGCGUAGGCGGUUUGUUAAGUCUGUUGUGAAAUCCCCGGGCUCAACCUGGGAAUGGCAAUGGAUACUGGCAAGCUAGAGUGUGUCAGAGGAUGGUGGAAUUCCCGGUGUAGCGGUGAAAUGCGUAGAGAUCGGGAGGAACAUCAGUGGCGAAGGCGGCCAUCUGGGACAACACUGACGCUGAGGCACGAAAGCGUGGGGAGCAAACAGGAUUAGAUACCCCUGUAGUCCCUGUCUCUUAUAC
rnacentral:rRNA from 1 species